UUAUGCUUGAGAGGUUGCUGGUGAGCAUUUUGUGAAGGAUACCGAUCUUCUCAGAAUAUUGCUUGUAUUUUUUAUUCUCAUACUUGGUGAAUGAAGUGUUGAUGGGUGCUAUUGUGAAGUGGAGGUAUGACGUCCACUUGGUUUGAGGUGAAAAAAUUCAAUGGCAAAUGGGAUUUCUCUAUGUGGAAGAAGAAGAUCAAAGCAUCGUUGGUUCAGCAAAAGGUAGCUCCAGCAAUCGGCAAAGAAUCAGAGUAUCCAAAAAGCUGGAAAGAAGAAAUAUGGAGGGAGAAGCUUGAUACCGCAUUCAGCACUGUUAUUUUGCACUUAGUUGAUAAUGUGCUAAGGCAAGUAGAUGGAGAAGAAUCGGCUGCAGCAAUCUGGACCAAGCUGGACAAACGUUAGUCCACCAUGGAGAAGAGGCUAAAGAAACUGUCGAAUCCGCCGUUCGGGAAAGCCCCCUCCGACGUUGAGCGUUGGCUGUGCCUCACCACAAGGAGGCUGAGCUACAGCUUUGCAACUGCGGCGUUUGUGUGUGUGGUGAUAUGAUAGGUCUUCUGGUGGCAGCGGCAGGCGUCAAGGUGAUAGCAAUGAAGUAUCGAAUCGAAGAGUCGAUGGAAUUGGGGGAAGUUGAACUUUGACCACAUGCAGACGCGUCCUAGGGUUGUGUUUAAAAAAUUGCAAAUGAAAGUUGUAUGAAACUACACAAUUUCAUUUAUUUAUUUUUUCUUCCUUUUUUUCUAAGCUCCAAACUAAAUUUGAACGACCCAUAAAUCGGGAAAAUUUCUAGCCCUACGGUCAGUGGUAGAUCCAGGAUUUCAUGUUAGGGGGGCACAAAUACAAAUAAACACAAUGAAAAAAAA